UACGUAGGGGUCGAGCGUUGUCCGGACUUACUGGGCGUAAAGCGUGGGUGGGUGGCCGAUGAUGUGCCGUGUGAAAGCGCCGCGCUUCUCGCGGCGAGGUCGCGGUAGACACAUCGGCUCGAGGCGCGGAGAGGGGCGUAGAAUUCCCGGUGUAGUGGUGAAAUGCGUAGAUAUCGGGAGGAAUACCAGUGGCGCAAGCGGCGCCCUGGCCGUGACCUGACACUGAGCCACGACGGCGUGGGGAGCAAACGGG
rnacentral:rRNA from 1 species